rnacentral:rRNA from 1 species
AAAAAAGGUAAGCUACUAAGAGCGAAUGGUGGAUGCCUUGACUGGUAAAGGCGAUGAAGGACGUACUAGACUGCGAUAAGCUACGGGGAGCUGUCAAGAAGCUUUGAUCCGUAGAUUUCCGAAUGGGGCAACCCAAUGUAUAGAGAUAUACAUUACCUAUAUAGGAGCGAACGAGGGGAAUUGAAACAUCUUAGUACCCUCAGGAAAAGAAAUCAAUAGAGAUUGCGUCAGUAGCGGCGAGCGAAAGCGCAAGAGGGCAAACCCAGUGCUUGCACUGGGGGUUGUAGGACUGCAAUGUGCAAGAGGUAAGUUUAGCAGAACAUUCUGGAAAGUAUAACCAUAGAGGGUGAUAGUCCCGUAUGCGAAAAACAAACCUUAGCUAGCAGUAUCCUGAGUAGGGCGGGACACGAGGAAUCCUGUCUGAAUCCGGGUCGACCACGAUCCAACCCUAAAUACUAAUACCAGAUCGAUAGUGCACAAGUACCGUGAGGGAAAGGUGAAAAGAACUGAGGUGAUCAGAGUGAAAUAGAACCUGAAACCAUUUGCUUACAAUCAUUCAGAGCCUUAUGUAGCAAUACAGGGUGAUGGACUGCCUUUGCAUAAUGAGCCUGCGAGUUGUGGUGUCUGGCAAGGUUAAGCAAACGCGAAGCCGUAGCGAAAGCGAGUCUGAAUAGGGCGCUUAGUCAGAUGCUGCAGACCCGAAACGAAGUGAUCUAUCCAUGAGCAAGUUGAAGCUAGUGUAAGAACUAGUGGAGGACUGAACCCAUAGGCGUUGAAAAGCCCCGGGAUGACUUGUGGAUAGGGGUGAAAGGCCAAUCAAACUUCGUGAUAGCUGGUUCUCUCCGAAAUAUAUUUAGGUAUAGCGUUGUGUCGUAAUAUAAGGGGUAGAGCACUGAAUGGGCUAGGGCAUACACCAAUGUACCAAACCCUAUCAAACUCCGAAUACCUUAUAUGUAAUCACAGCAGUCAGGCGGCGAGUGAUAAAAUCCGUCGUCAAGAGGGAAACAACCCAGACUACCAGCUAAGGUCCCUAAAUCUUACUUAAGUGGAAAACGAUGUGAAGUUACUUAAACAACCAGGAGGUUGGCUUAGAAGCAGCCAUCCUUUAAAGAAAGCGUAAUAGCUCACUGGUCUAGUGAUUUUGCGCGGAAAAUAUAACGGGGCUAAAGUAAGUACCGAAGCUGUAGACUUAGUUUACUAAGUGGUAGGAGAGCGUUCUAUUUGCGUCGAAGGUAUACCGGUAAGGAGUGCUGGAGCGAAUAGAAGUGAGCAUGCAGGCAUGAGUAGCGAUAAUUAAUGUGAGAAUCAUUAACGCCGUAAACCCAAGGUUUCCUACGCGAUGCUCGUCAUCGUAGGGUUAGUCGGGUCCUAAGUCGAGUCCGAAAGGGGUAGACGAUGGCAAAUUGGUUAAUAUUCCAAUACCAACAUUAGUGUGCGAUGGAAGGACGCUUAGGGCUAAGGGGGCUAGCGGAUGGAAGUGCUAGUCUAAGGUCGUAGGAGGUUAUACAGGCAAAUCCGUAUAACAAUACUCCGAGAACUGAAAGGCUUUUGAAGUCUUCGGAUGGAUAGAAGAACCCCUGAUGCCGUCGAGCCAAGAAAAGUUUCUAAGUUUAGCUAAUGUUGCCCGUACCGUAAACCGACACAGGUGGGUGGGAUGAGUAUUCUAAGGCGCGUGGAAGAACUCUCUUUAAGGAACUCUGCAAAAUAGCACCGUAUCUUCGGUAUAAGGUGUGGUUAGCUUUGUAUUAGGAUUUACUCCGAAAGCAAGGAAACUUACAACAAAGAGUCCCUCCCGACUGUUUACCAAAAACACAGCACUCUGCUAACUCGUAAGAGGAUGUAUAGGGUGUGACGCCUGCCCGGUGCUCGAAGGUUAAUUGAUGGGGUUAGCAUUAGCGAAGCUCUUGAUCGAAGCCCGAGUAAACGGCGGCCGUAACUAUAACGGUCCUAAGGUAGCGAAAUUCCUUGUCGGUUAAAUACCGACCUGCAUGAAUGGCGUAACGAGAUGGGAGCUGUCUCAAAGAGGGAUCCAGUGAAAUUGUAGUGGAGGUGAAAAUUCCUCCUACCCGCGGCAAGACGGAAAGACCCCGUGGACCUUUACUACAGCUUGACACUGCUACUUGGAUAAGAAUGUGCAGGAUAGGUGGGAGGCUUUGAGUAUAUGACGCCAGUUGUAUAUGAGCCAUUGUUGAGAUACCACUCUUUCUUAUUUGGGUAGCUAACCAGCUUGAGUUAUCCUCAAGUGGGACAAUGUCUGGUGGGUAGUUUGACUGGGGCGGUCGCCUCCCAAAUAAUAACGGAGGCUUACAAAGGUUGGCUCAGAACGGUUGGAAAUCGUUCGUAGAGUAUAAAGGUAUAAGCCAGCUUAACUGCAAGACAUACAAGUCAAGCAGAGACGAAAGUCGGUCUUAGUGAUCCGGUGGUUCUGUGUGGAAGGGCCAUCGCUCAAAGGAUAAAAGGUACCCCGGGGAUAACAGGCUGAUCUCCCCCAAGAGCUCACAUCGACGGGGAGGUUUGGCACCUCGAUGUCGGCUCAUCGCAUCCUGGGGCUGGAGCAGGUCCCAAGGGUAUGGCUGUUCGCCAUUUAAAGCGGUACGCGAGCUGGGUUCAGAACGUCGUGAGACAGUUCGGUCCCUAUCUGCCGUGGGCGUAAGAAGAUUGAAGAGAUUUGACCCUAGUACGAGAGGACCGGGUUGAACAAACCACUGGUGUAGCUGUUGUUCUGCCAAGAGCAUCGCAGCGUAGCUAAGUUUGGAAAGGAUAAACGCUGAAAGCAUCUAAGCGUGAAGCCAACUCUAAGAUGAAUCUUCUCUAAGCUCUCUAGAAGACUACUAGUUUGAUAGGCUGGGUGUGUAAUGGAUGAAAGUCCUUUAGCUGACCAGUACUAAUAGAGCGUUUGGCUUAUCUUUAAUAAAGCAU